GACCGACGUGAUUCACCGGAUCCCGAGGACCCCUGCUCAUCCGACUGGAAUAGUCUAGGUGCACCCGCUGGAAACAGCCACUCGUGGCGGCGUUGGUACACCGAAUAUCCCUGCACAAACCUCAACGGCACAACGGCAUUAUCAGAAGUUCUUCCUG